UACGAAGGGGGCUAGCGUUGCUCGGAAUCACUGGGCGUAAAGGGUGCGUAGGCGGGUUUUUAAGUCAGAGGUGAAAUCCUGGAGCUCAACUCCAGAACUGCCUUUGAUACUGAAGAUCUUGAGUUCGGGAGAGGUGAGUGGAACUGCGAGUGUAGAGGUGAAAUUCGUAGAUAUUAGGAAGAACACCAGUGGCGAAGGCGGCUUACUGGUCCGGAACUGACGCUGAGGUGCGAAAAGCGUGGGGGAGCAAACAGG
rnacentral:rRNA from 1 species